CAGUCGCCGCGGGAAUACGAAGGGUGCAAGCGUUAAUCGGAAUUACUGGGCGUAAAGCGUGCGUAGGCGGUGAGUUAAGUCUGCUGUGAAAUCCCCGGGCUCAACCUGGGAAUGGCAGUGGAUACUGGCUCGCUAGAGUGUGUCAGAGGAUGGUGGAAUUCCCGGUGUAGCGGUGAAAUGCGUAGAGAUCGGGAGGAACAUCAGUGGCGAAGGCGGCCAUCUGGGACAACACUGGCGCUGAGGCACGAAAGCGUGGGGAGCAAACAGGAUUAGAUACCCGGGUAGUCCCUGUCUCUUAUAA
rnacentral:rRNA from 1 species